rnacentral:rRNA from 1 species
UCCGGAGCUAACGCGUUAAGUAGACCGCCUGGGGAGUACGGCCGCAAGGUUAAAACUCAAAUGAAUUGACGGGGGCCCGCACAAGCGGUGGAGCAUGUGGUUUAAUUCGAUGCAACGCGAAGAACCUUACCUGGUCUUGACAUCCACAGAAGAAUCCAGAGAUGGAUUGGUGCCUUCGGGAACUGUGAGACAGGUGCUGCAUGGCUGUCGUCAGCUCGUGUUGUGAAAUGUUGGGUUAAGUCCCGCAACGAGCGCAACCCUUAUCCUUUGUUGCCAGCGAUUAGGUCGGGAACUCAAAGGAGACUGCCAGUGAUAAACUGGAGGAAGGUGGGGAUGACGUCAAGUCAUCAUGGCCCUUACGACCAGGGCUACACACGUGCUACAAUGGCGCAUACAAAGAGAAGCGACCUCGCGAGAGCAAGCGGACCUCAUAAAGUGCGUCGUAGUCCGGAUUGGAGUCUGCAACUCGACUCCAUGAAGUCGGAAUCGCUAGUAAUCGUGGAUCAGAAUGCCACGGUGAAUACGUUCCCGGGCCUUGUACACACCGCCCGUCACACCAUGGGAGUGGGUUGCAAAAGAAGUAGGUAGCUUAACCUUCGGGAGGGCGCUUACCACUUUGUGAUUCAUGACUGGGGUGAAGUCGUAACAAGGUAACCGUAGGGGAACCUGCGGUUGGA